GAUUCACUAGCUCAGUUGGUAGAGCACAUCCCUUUUAAGGAUGGGGUCCUGGGUUCGAACCCCAGGUGGAUCAC
rnacentral:tRNA from 1 species